CAUGGCGUUGCGCGACGGCGACGGUCCACGGGUCCUCUGGCGGCACGACCGUGAUCUCGUCCCGCGGGCACCCAUGUUCGACGCACGGACGUUGUGGC
rnacentral:tRNA from 1 species